rnacentral:rRNA from 1 species
CCUACGGGAGGCAGCAGUAGGGAAUCUUUCACAAUGGGCGAAAGCCUGAUGGAGCAACGCCGCGUGCAGGAUGAAGGCCUUCGGGUUGUAAACUGCUUUUAUCAGCGAGAAAUAUGAUGGUAACUUAUGAAUAAGGCUCGGCUAACUACGUGCCAGCAGCCGCGGUCAUACGUAGGAUCCGAGCAUUAUCCGGAGUGACUGGGUGUAAAGAGUUGCGGCGGUGGCAUAAUAAGUAGCUAUUGAAAUCGGGUGGCUCAACCAUUCAGACUAUUAGUUAAACUGUUAAGCUCGAGACCGUUAGGGGUAACUGGAAUUUCUAGUGUAGGAGUGAAAUCCGUAGAUAUUAGAAGGAACACCAAUAGCGUAGGCAGGUUACUGGGACGGUUCUGACACUAAGGCACGAAAGCGUAGGGAGCAAACGGGAUUAGAUACCCCUGUAGUC